CCUACUUCCCACUGCUAUGGGUAGGGGUUAAGGUUAGGGUAGGGACAUCCCAAGGAGGCAGGAUUGCACUGACCAUACAUUUGUCUUUCCAACUAUUCAGCCAAGUUUAUCACACAUGCUGCUACAUCAGCCUGGCCUUUCCCGCCUUUAGGUUUCCGUGUUUACUUUUAUCAUUGGAUCACAUUUUGCCAUUCUCUGACUACUUACUGGCUGCAAAGAAAAUCGAUCAAAACAAAAGCAAGCUAACCUAAAUAUGGCACCAAAUAAUCAGACAAUUAGAAACUACUCAGUUCCUAGAGGUAUUUAAAAAGGUACUUUCAACGUGAGUGAAUUUGCUAUAUUACUUGCCAGUUUUUGCUGUUUCCGAAAAACUAGCUAACCAUGUCUGACCUGAACAAUCACCCAAGACUACAUACAGUACGAGCCCGUUAACUCAUUCACCUAUUUCAUGAUUAAUAUGCCACUGCAGUGGAGCGAUGAUCAACUGCAUGUGUUUUAUGAAAAUGAAGUGAAAACGAAUGUGGACCUCUUCAUUUCUACAAAAUGGCUUUAAGAUGGUAAGGAGGUCCAGAACAGACAUAUUUCAACACCCAGACUUGUGUAGUCACAGAUGAGAGUAGUUGACAAGGAAUUGUCCAGCUGCGCGUGGAAGGUCCCUUGUGAAGAGAAACAGCUGAGAGCACAAAGCCGCCUGGACAUGCGAUGACAACAAUCGCUUUCCUAUGAAAAGGACAGAAACAGACCUAUGCAACUACAUCAACUUCAGCAUUCCAGAGCCAGAAAUUCAGCCUCAAGUUUCCCUCCCUCCCUCCUCGGAAUCAUUUAGCUACCUGUGAAACUCAAGACUCCAGCAUGAAAGUGUUUGAUAAGACCACCACAAUGGUAGCCUCUGCCAUGUCCCAAACAACCGGAUGUUCCAGUUUCUUUUAUGCCUGCUACGUUAUGUUACCACAACGGUAACAGGAUCAAGAUGAUGUGUCGAAGGAAGCUCUCUAAAGGACAAGAUCCUUUCAUCUCUGCAAUAUUAACAUGCUGUGUCCUCUCUCCACACAUCCCACCCCUCAAGUCACUUCUGACUAAACCCCUCAACUUCUUGAAUGACUGAAAGUGUAGUGUCGUGAGUUGACAACGUAUGUCAAGGACACAGUUUUAUAUUUUGUUGACGUGUGACUCAGCAAUUAAUCAUUUCUCCACCUGCUCUUUAGUUUAUUAGUGAUUUAAGUAGUAGCACUAACCAGUACGGGGCGCUAGUGUGCUGUUAACCACAGACUGUUCUACUCAACAGUUGGAACCAUGAUACUGUAUAUAUAAGACAGAUGUUUUGUGAGUAUGAUGUUUACUGCUCAUUUUGUUUUUCACUUUUGUAUAUUAUCUACUUCACUUGCUUUGGCAAUGUUAACAUAUGUUUCCUAUGCCAAUAAAGCCCCUUGAAUGAAUUGGUUUGUCAAACAACG